GCUUAACGCGAAGAACCUUACCUAGGCUCGAACGGUUGACGACACCCGCUAGAAAUAGUGGGGUUUCCUUCGGGAACGGCAAUCGAGGUGCUGCAUGGCUGUCGUCAGCUCGUGUCGUGAGAUGUUGGGUUAAGUCCCGCAACGAGCGCAACCCUUGUCCUGUGUUGCUAAUCUUCGGAUGCACUCUCAGGAGACCGCCAGCGACAAGCUGGAGGAAGGUGGGGAUGACGUCAAGUCAGCAUGGCCUUUAUGUCCAGGGCUACACACGUGCUACAAUGGGCAGGACAAUGCGUUGCCAACCCGCGAGGGGGAGCUAAUCGUAUAAACCUGUUCUCAGUUCGGAUUGCAGGCUGCAACUCGCCUGCAUGAAGCUGGAAUCGCUAGUAAUGGCAGAUCAGCAUGCUGCCGUGAAUACGUUCCCGGGUCUUGUACACACCGAGUCUUGGUACACACCGGGGGUCUUGGUACACACCGG
rnacentral:rRNA from 1 species